GAUGAACGCUAGCGGCAGGCUUAACACAUGCAAGUCGAGGGGUAUUGGUUUUCGGACCAAGAGACCGGCGCACGGGUGCGUAACGCGUAUGCAAUCUACCUUUUACAGAGGGAUAGCCCAGAGAAAUUUGGAUUAAUACCUCAUAGUAUGCAGAGUUGGCAUCAACAUUGCAUUAAAGUCACAACGGUAAAAGAUGAGCAUGCGUCCCAUUAGCUAGUUGGUAAGGUAACGGCUUACCAAGGCAACGAUGGGUAGGGGUCCUGAGAGGGA
rnacentral:rRNA from 1 species